UACGGAGGGUGCAAGCGUUGCUCGGAAUUAUUGGGCGUAAAGGGUAGGUAGGUGGUCUCAUUUGUCUGGGGUGAAAGCCUUGAGCUUAACUCAAGAAGUGCCUCAGAAACGGUGAGACUAGAGUCCUGGAGAGGGUCGUGGAAUUCCCGGUGUAGCGGUGAAAUGCGCAGAUAUCAGGAGGAACACCGGUGGCGAAGGCAAUCCCCUGGGCCUGCACUGACGCUCAUGCACGAAAGCGUGGGGAGCAAACAGG
rnacentral:rRNA from 1 species